rnacentral:rRNA from 1 species
CGAGUGAGCGGCAAAGCUCAAAUUUGAAAUCUGGCGUCUUGAGAUGAGUUGUAAUUUGAAGAAGGCGACUUUGUAGCUGGUAAAGUCUAGGAUUCCUUGGAACAGGACGUCAUAGAGGGUGAGAAUCCCGUGUGGCGAGGAUCCCAGUUAUUUGUAAAGUGCUUCCCACAAGUCGAGUUGUUUGGGAAUAA